rnacentral:rRNA from 1 species
UACGAAGGGUGCAAGCGUUACUCGGAAUUACUGGGCGUAAAGCGUGUGUAGGCGGCUACAUAAGUCGGAUGUGAAAGCCCCGGGCUCAACCCGGGAAGUGCACUCGAUACUGCGUAGCUUAAGUCUCGGAGAGGUUGGUGGAAUUCUCGGUGUAGAGGUGAAAUUCGUAGAUAUCGAGAGGAACACCGGUGGCGAAGGCGGCCAACUGGACGAAGACUGACGCUGAGACACGAAAGCGUGGGGAGCGAACAGG